rnacentral:ncRNA from 1 species
AAGGAACGGACUUCCCUGGAAUUGGUUCAGCCAGAGAUGGGGACGUUGUUUCCGAAAAGCACCGCGGUUUUCUGUGGUGUCUCGUGCUCUCUGAACGGCCCUUUAAACACCAAGGGAGGCUAUUAAUUUGCACUCAAUCGUACCGAUAUCCGCAUUAGGUCUCCAAGGUGAACAGCCUCUAGUCGAUAGAAUAAUGUAGGUAAGGGAAGUCGGCAAACUAGAUCCGUAACUUCGGGAAAAGGAUUGGCUCCAGUGGUCGGAACGGUUGGCCAGUUGGUUGAUGCUUGUCCGGCGCUGUUCUGUCUGCUUGAUGCUUUCGGGCUGAUGGCGGCCUAGUGAUAGUGCUUGCUUGUUGACGCUUUCUGGUGUGUGCUUUGACCUCGGUCUUAGUAUCCUGAUCGUUCAUCUAAACGACUUAAACUGGAACCGGUACGGACUCAGGGAAUCCGACUGUCUAAUUAAAACAGAGGUGACAGAUGGUCCUUGCGGACGCUGACUGUCACUGAUUUCUGCCCAGUGCUCUGAAUGUUAAAUCGUAGUAAUUCGAGUAAGCGCGGGUAAACGGCGGGAGUAACUAUGACUCUCUUAAGGUAGCCAAAUGCCUCGUCAUUUAAUUGUUGACGCGCAUGAAUGGAUUAACGAGAUUCCUACUGUCCCUAACUACUAUCUAGUCGAAACCACAGCCAAGGGAACGGGCUUGGCAAAAAUAGCGGGGAAAGAAGACCCUGUUGAGCUUGACUCUAGUUUGACAUUGUGAAGAGUCAUGAGAGGUGUAGCAUAGGUGGGAGUCUUCGGACGCCAAUGAAAUACCACCACUUUCAUCGACUCUUUACUUAUUCGGUUAAAAAGAGAAUUGGUCGCAAGGCCUCUUUUCGAAGUAUUAAGCGGAUCCAUUUUAUGGAACCGUGACUCUCCCCGAAGACAGUGUCAAGCGGGGAGUUUGACUGGGGCGGUACAUCUAUCAAAUCGUAACGUAGGUGUCCUAAGGCGAGCUCAGAGAGGACGGAAACCUCUCGUAGAGCAAAAGGGCAAAAGCUUGCUUGAUCUUGACUUUCAGUACGAGUACAGACC